GACGAACGCUGGCGGCGGGCUUAACACAUGCAAGUCGAACGGAAAGGCCCUGCUUUUGUGGGGUGCUCGAGUGGCGAACGGGGGAGUAACACGUGAGUAACCUGCCCUUGACUUUGGGAUAACUUCAGGAAACUGGGGCUAAUCCCGGAUAGGAGCUCCUGCUGCAUGGUGGGGGUUGGAAAGUUUCGGCGGGUGGGGAUGGACUCGCGGCUUAUCAGCUUGUUGGUGGGGUAGUGGCUUACCAAGGCUUUGACGGGUAGCCGGCCUGAGAGGGUGACCGGCCACAUUGGGACUGAGAUACGGCCCAGACGCCUACGGGAGGCAGCAGUGGGGAAUAUUGCACAAUGGGCGGAAGCCUGAUGCAGCAACGCCGGGUGCGGGAUGACGGCCUUUGGGGUGUAAACCGCUUUCGCCUGUGACGAAGCGUGAGUGACGGUAAUGGGUAAAGAAGCACCGGCUAACUACGUG
rnacentral:rRNA from 1 species